AUACGGAGGAUCCGAGCGUUAUCCGGAUUUAUUGGGUUUAAAGGGUGCGCAGGCGGCCAUUUAAGUCAGCGGUUAAAUCGCGGGGCUCAACCCCAUUCUGCCGUUGAUACUGGGUGGCUUGAUUGCGGUCGAGGUUGGCGGAAUUCGUUGUGUAGCGGUGAAAUGCAUAGAUAUGACGAAGAACACCGAUUGCGUAGGCAGCUGACCAGACCGCAAAUGACGCUCAUGCACGAAAGUGCGGGGAUCGAACAGGAUUAGAUACCCUGGUAGUCCGCACAGUAAACGAGGAAUACUUGGUUUCGGCGAUAUAAUGUCGGAGGCAAAGCGAAAGCGAUAAGUAUUCCACCUGGGGAGUACGCCGGCAACGGUGAAACUCAAAAGAAUUGACGGGG
rnacentral:rRNA from 1 species